CCCCGUCGUUGCGGUCAACACCUCACUCUGCAUCUCAAGUCAGCCAAGAUACAUGGCGAGCUACUGGACCAGCUGGUAACAACGGGAAAGCCGUCAAUAUGGAGCUUGUGUUUACCGUUGCUAUGGUGAUAAAGUGUUCGCAAGGGAAUGCAGAGAUGAUUGAGAGAAAAACAGGAUUUGUAUCCGAGAGUGAAAUCUGCACACAAGUGACACCUGGAGUUUUUCAUGGGUUUU